rnacentral:rRNA from 1 species
CGGCAACAGCUCAAAUUUGAAAUCUGGCCUUCGGGUCCGAGUUGUAAUUUGUAGAGGAUGUUUUUGGCGCGGUGCCUUCCGAGUUCCCUGGAACGGGACGCCUUAGAGGGUGAGAGCCCCGUACGGUUGGAUGCUAAGCCUAUAUAAAACUCCUUCGAC